UCUAUGUUCUACGCUUCAGUCAUGGGGAGCUUGGAGUUCUCCAUCUGCUACAGGAUGUGGGAGGAAUACUGCUUCAGCUCACACUAGAUCCAGAGCAACAAAGGGACUACCAUUGCUAGCUGCUACCCAAGAUGCUGAAAUCAGAAUAUGUGACCUCGUGGAAUGAACGUCUCUCUGGGUAAGCAGCUGAAUAAAAUCCUCCACAACAGCAAUCUGACCAGCAAUCCAACCAUUAGGGGAGACACAAGAGAGUCUAAGUGUUAGAGCUAGCUAGAGCUAAGAAAGCAGGGAGCAUUGAUCGACCAUGGAUGUCAUCUUCCUCACAUAUUGAUAAAAACAAUUUCCAGGCAACCAACGCAGAAACCGGCGAGCCAUGGUAGUCACGCAAGAAAAUUAAACCCCCAUUAAACUUCUCAUCUGUGCACUACAGCGUCGAGCUGAACAAACAAGUGGAAAGAUAAAAGCUGGAUCCACACUGCUUCUACAGCCUACCUUCUUUACACUCCAGGGCCACUCUGGACUCCAGGUUGUCCAUUUGAAGCUGCAGACGUUUCAGGGUGCGGUCAGCGUCCC